AGAGAGAAGUGUUUGGGGACUUAGGGGACGUGAAGGGAGGCGAGAUAUAUACAAUCCAUGUGCAGCUUCCCAGCGUCAGUGAUCAGGGGCAUGGAAGAAAACGAGGUUUGUGUGAUUUUGCUAAAAUGCACCACCAACAGCGAAUGGCUGCCUUAGGGACGGACAAAGAACUCAGUGAUUUACUGGAUUUCAGUGCGAUGUUUUCACCUCCUGUGAGCAGUGGGAAAAAUGGACCAACUUCUUUGGCAAGUGGACAUUUUACUGGCUCAAAUGUAGAAGACAGAACUAGCUCAGGGUCCUGGGGGAACGGAGGACAUCCUAGUCCAUCCAGGAACUAUGGAGAUGGAACUCCUUAUGAACAUAUGACAAACAGGGACCUUGGAUCACAUGACAAUCUAUCUCCUCCUUUCGUGAAUUCCAGAAUACAGAGUAAAUCAGAAAGGGGCUCCUAUUCAUCAUAUGGGCGAGACUCAAACCUACAGGGUUGCCACCAGCAAAGUCUCCUCGGAGGUGACAUGGAAAUGGGCAACCCAGGCGCUCUCUCACCCACCAAACCUGGCUCUCAGUACUAUCAGUAUUCUAGCAAUAAUCCGCGAAGAAGGCCUCUGCACAGUACCUCUGUGGAAGUACAAACAAAGAAAGUUCGAAAGGUUCCUCCAGGUUUACCAUCUUCAGUUUAUGCCCCUUCUGCAAGCACUGCCGACUACAAUCGGGAUUCACCAGGCUAUCCAUCCUCAAAACCAGCAGCCAGCACUUUUCCUAGUUCCUUCUUCAUGCAAGACGGUCAUCACAGCAGUGAUCCGUGGAGCUCCUCCAGUGGGAUGAAUCAGCCUGGUUAUGGCGGAAUGCUGGGCAAUUCUUCUCAUAUUCCACAGUCCAGUAGCUAUUGCAGUCUUCAUCCUCAUGACCGCUUGAGCUACCCAUCACACUCCUCAGCAGACAUCAAUUCCAGUCUUCCUCCAAUGUCCACUUUCCAUCGCAGUGGCACAACCCAUUACAGUGCUUCUUCCUGCACACCACCCGCAAAUGGGACAGAUAGCAUAAUGGCAAACAGAGGAAGUGGAGCAGCAGGAAGUUCACAGACAGGCGAUGCACUGGGGAAAGCACUUGCAUCUAUCUACUCUCCAGAUCACACCAACAACAGCUUUUCAUCAAAUCCUUCAACUCCUGUUGGUUCUCCCCCUUCUCUCUCAGCAGGCACAGCUGUUUGGUCUAGGAAUGGAGGGCAAGCAUCAUCAUCUCCCAAUUAUGAAGGUCCCUUACACUCUUUGCAAAGCCGGAUUGAAGACCGCUUGGAAAGACUGGAUGAUGCUAUUCAUGUUCUCCGGAAUCAUGCAGUGGGGCCUUCAACUGCCAUGCCCGGUAGUCAUAGCGACAUGCAUGGCUUAAUAGGGCCCUCGCAUAAUGGAGCAAUGGGAGGUCUUGGGUCAGGAUAUGGGACAGGCCUUCUUUCAGCCAAUAGACACUCGCUAAUGGUCGGGGCUCAUCGUGAGGAUGCUGUUGGCCUCCGCGGCAGCCAUCCACUCGUGCCAAAUCAGGUCCCAGUCCCACAGCUGCCAGUACAGUCUGCUACAUCUCCCGACUUAAACCAGCCUCAAGAUCCAUACAGAGGCAUUCCAACUGGCCUUCAAGGACAAAGCGUAUCUUCAGGGAGCUCCGAAAUCAAAUCUGAUGACGAGGGAGACGAAAACCUUCAGGACGCAAAAUCUUCUGAGGACAAGAAGUUAGACGACGACAAGAAGGAUAUCAAAUCAAUUACUAGGUCAAGAUCUAGCAAUAACGAUGAUGAAGAUCUUACACCGGAGCAAAAGGCGGAGCGUGAGAAAGAGAGGAGAAUGGCCAACAACGCCCGCGAGCGCCUCCGCGUCCGAGACAUCAACGAGGCUUUCAAGGAGCUGGGCCGGAUGGUGCAGCUUCACCUGAAGAGCGACAAGCCCCAGACCAAACUUCUGAUCUUGCAUCAAGCUGUAGCUGUGAUCCUCAGCUUAGAGCAGCAAGUCAGAGAAAGGAAUCUGAAUCCUAAAGCAGCAUGUCUGAAAAGAAGGGAAGAAGAGAAAGUAUCUUCGGAACCCCCGCCCCUUUCUUUGGCAGGACCCCACCCUGGGAUGGGAGACACAUCUAAUCAUAUGGGACAGAUGUAAAAAGCAAAAAAAGGUCCAAGUUGCCACAUUUUCUUUACGUAAACCAGAGACCACUUCCUUAACAGCUGUAUUAUCUUAAACCCACAUAAACACUUAACCCCCUUUUUUGUAAUAUAAUAAGACAAGUCUGAGUAGUUACGAAUCACAGACGCAAGAGAUUUCAGCAUUCCCGAUUUCGAAACAAACACAAAAAGAAAAGUGCAACUUGAGGGACGUCUUUUUUCAACAUAUCAUUCAGAAUGUUUCAAGCAGUAUGUUAGGAGCUGUAAAUGCACAGCCAAGAGACUGAAUUGGCAAUCUUCUCCACACUGUGGGACAAUGCAUUUGUGCCUAAACUUCUUUUGGAAAAAAAAAUAUAAUUAAUUUGUGUCACAGGAAGCGCUGCUUUUGGCUGACCUGGUUAGGUGGCGUUUUCGUCCCAGACACAACCCUCAAAAUGCAAAUGGGCUUUAAAGGUGCCCUUGGUGUGUUCGGAACUGCCACAUUCCAGAUGAUGUGUAAAAAACUGAAGCUCUGGUCAUCUGAGUUUCUUCUCAGAACACAAAGAGUUCUUCUAGAGGCCUCCAUGCUCUUCAUGUGCUGACUUGGGUAGCUGAUAAAAGAAUCUGCUUUCUGGACAUAACUCUAGCAGAAGCACAUGUACUUCACGUCUUGGCCUAAAACCUUUCUGUAAUACGGCUAUGCAUUGUAAUAUAGUUGUUUUAAAAAGGGGUGGGGUUGGGGAGAGGACUGGCUCACGGUUGGCUUGAAUCCCAAUUGGUGGAGAAAGUUGUUUGUAAGUUUUAACUCCUUUGUAAAGUUCUUUCAUAUCUUUUGGAAUGGAAGGUGCUAUAUAAAAUGUAAAAUCGCUUUCAUGAUCAUCGGUAUAUAGCUACUCUGUAAAUAUAGCACCUGUAUUUCACUUGGGGGGAAAAACUGUUAUGUACAUAAUGAGAGGAUAUAAUGCACCUUUGGACAAUGGGGAAAAUGUCAAGAAGGUGCUGACAUGUAUGCAAAAAAAUAAAAUAAAUUGAACUAUGUGAUGAACUAGCCCUUGGGAGGGGGGAAGGUACCAUCUGUCCAAUUCAAAGCUAAGGACUAGAAGAAAAACCAAUGGGCAUAGUGCUUCUGUUGAUCCAGAUCUUCAUGUAGUUUUCAUAUAUUGAUGAGAUUAUUUCCAUGUCUCCAGACAGAAGCAUUUCUUCCCUCCGACUGCAGUUUGAGCUGUACUAAAAAGCCAAAAGGGAUGGUCACCUUUAUUUUUACCUUCCCCCCCAAUGAAACGUGUGUUGAAGUUGUAAAUUAUAAAUGCUAACGUUGUAUUUAACAUCUUGUUAAUGGGUGGGAAAGAAAGUAAUAAAUUCUGGUUGGCCCUGUU